AGUUAGAUUAGCUUUAAUUAAUUAACAAAUGAAAUAGAUAAGAUAAUUAUAGGGAAGGGUUGGCGCAUGUGCGUGUAUAGGGCCCAGGCCAAAAGAGUUUUCAGAUUCCCUCUGUCUGUAAGAUAAAAAAAAGGAUUAAACCACUCAUAUUUAUAUUUUUAUUUUUAUUUAUCAAACAAUUCAGUCAAGAAGAAAAACAAACAAAGAUUCAGCAAGCGUGGGUCCCAGUUUGCUUCUUCAGUGCGGCUGUUGACGUGGCAUUCUGCUAUGUUUGUUUAGGUGGAUGAAAAUAAUAAAAGGAUGGAAGAAAGUCGAAAUGAAGGAAGGACAAUGGAAAUUAAUGAUGAGAAGAGAGGAUGGAAAACCUUCCAUUUUAGUAAUUUAUGCAUUUCACAAUAAAACCAAAUAAAGGCCAUUUUAUAUUCAAAGAUUAUGGGGGUAAAAAGGUAAUUUUAUGGAGGAUUCAUUCUUUACGAGCCUUUAUACCAUGUAUUGAAUGAGGUGCUUCCUUCCUCUCUAACUUCUGCCGCCAACCAAACAAUGGAAAAGGACCUUUCUCUUAUAAUCUUUUCCUCCUCCUUUUUACUCCCUCCCAACCAAACACAUUGUUCGUUUUGAAACAGAGCAACAGAUUCCUUCCAUUUAGGCGUAUUCUUCUCUUUUCCUUUUUUUUUUUUUUUUUUUUACUUAAUUACCAAUUAAUCAUGUAUUUUAAAUGUUUUAUUAGUUAUAACACGUCUAUUUAAUUUAUAUUUUUUAAUUUUAAAUAUUUUUAUUAAAAUAAGAAAUUUGGCUAAAUUAGAUAUCAAAAAAUAAUACUGACAAGAGAAGACAGGACGGAGUAAAAAUUUAUACUUAUUUAUAAACAAGAAAAUUAAAAUUGGAAUUAAUUAAAAGUCCUACAGCCUGGAGCGAUAUCCCUUAAAGCUCUUCAUGCCAGUUGCAUCUUUCACGAUAAUAUAUAUUAGUUCAUCUGCAGGUUUUCGACGCUUGUUCGCUCUUCAUCAUCCUCUCUGAUUGCGCUACUUGCAAAUAAUCGUGGUGGACACCGGUGCUUACUCUAGCCUUCUUUACUGUCGUCCACUUGCCGCAGCAUCAACGAGAAGUUGUUCGCUCGCCAUCGUCCUCUUUAGUUGCCCUGCUCGCGGACAAUUAUGGCGGACACUGGUGCUUUCUCUAGCUUUCAUUACUGCCGUCCGCUUGCCGCAAAUUAACGAAAAGGUAAAAAAAUAUUAGGUGCGCAGUUUUUUGGAUUGAAGGUAAAUGUAAUUAUGGUAAUAUGGGGAGGUUUUUGCAUUUUUGGAAUUGGGGUUUGACUGUCCCUCCUUAAAGGUCUGUUUAUUUUUCUAUUUUGUUCAUCAAGAUUGCAUUUUAAAUGACACAAAUUGAAUAAGAUUGACUAAAAGAAUUGAGUUUUUUUAGAAACAAAAAUUUGAAUCGGAAUGUAAAUUUAAAGAUAAACUUUGAAAAUUUAGAUAGUUAAAUUAUUCUAUUAGUGGUUAAACUUGUUGGAUUUUGUCACGUAAGCAUUUUCAUUUUCCUUUUUCCUAGAAAGCAAUCUCCAUGUUUUGAGUUUGGCAAGAUUGUUAAUUUUGAUAAAAAUGUUUUAAUCUAUCAUUAAAUUUGACAAAUUCAUAAUAACAUGUUAUAUUUGAUGACAAAGAAGUUCAAAAUACAUAUUAAUUAAGCAAUUAGCCCGAAUUGUUUUCAAAAUUAGCCUAUUUUUCUCUUUUAUAUAACUCCUCUAUUAUUGUAUUUUUUCUAUUUCAUAUAGAUUUUCAAUUUUUAACUGCAUGUCAUUCUUUUAUAUUCUAUUUUAUUAAACAAAAUAGAAAUGUGAAUUUUAGUUGGAGUUUGAUUAAUGAUAGUAAUAAUAAUUAACGAGAAAAAUAAGGACAUUUAAUAGAUUAUUAUGCCUUUGAAUCUAAAAGUAAUAAAUUUGAAUUACUUCAACACAAGUCCACCAAGCCUUUCCUAGAGAAGAGAUGUAUAAUUCAUUCACAUUUGCAAAAGAAGAAGGGGGAAGAAUAAGCAAAACAUAAAAGUUACUAUCAAGAGAAAGUAAAAACAACUUUAAUCAAAUUGGUCCUUUGAAAACAAAGAAGCUAUUAUGUAUAUAUAUUCUGUUGUAUUGCAGCAAUGUUAAUUUUGUCCAUUCAUACAAGAAAAACAAAAACCAAAAAAAAAAAAAAAAAAUAGGGAAAAGAAAAACAA